AGGAAGUAAAAGUCGUAACAAGGUUUCCGUAGGUGAACCUGCGGAAGGAUCAUUAUAGUACAACGGAGGCACCUGGGCUGUCGCUGACCUUAAAGGACGUGCACGCCCGGAGUGCUCUCUCUCACAUCCAUCUCACCCCUUUGUGCAUCACCGCGUGGGGCCCUCUCCUUUGGCUUGUUCCGGGGAGGGGGUUUCACGUUUUUACACGAACAACCCAUUAAUGCAUGUGUAGAAUGUCUUACUUAUUUUAAAUACAACUUUCAACAACGGAUCUCUUGGCUCUCGCAUCGAUGAAGAACGCAGCGAAAUGCGAUACGUAAUGUGAAUUGCAGAAUUCAGUGAAUCAUCGAAUCUUUGAACGCACCUUGCGCCCCUUGGUAUUCCGAGGGGUGCACCCGUUUGAGUGUCGUGAACACCCUCAACCUUCUUGGUUUAUCGACCGGGAAGGAUUGGACUUUGGAGGUUUUUGUUGCUGGCCUCGUUUGAAGCCAGCUCCUCCUAAAUGAAUUAGUGGGGUCCGCCGUGCCGAUCCUCGACGUGAUAAGUACGCUUCUACGUCUUGGGGUUUCGCACCGUUCUCGCUUCCAACUUCGAGUUGUGACUCGACCUUAUAAACCUUGACCUCAAAUCGGGUGAGACUACCCGCUGAACUUAAGCAUAUC
rnacentral:rRNA from 1 species